UGCCUGAUGGAGAGGGAUAACUACUGGAAACGGUGGCUAAUACCGCAUAACGUCGCAAGACCAAAGAGGGGGACCUUCGGGCCUCUUGCCAUCAGAUGUGCCCAGAUGGGAUUAGCUUGUUGGUGAGGUAACGGCUCACCAAGGCGACGAUCCCUAGCUGGUCUGAGAGGAUGACCAGCCACACUGGAACUGAGACACGGUCCAGACUCCUACGGGAGGCAGCAGUGGGGAAUAUUGCACAAUGGGCGCAAGCCUGAUGCAGCCAUGCCGCGUGUAUGAAGAAGGCCUUCGGGUUGUAAAGUACUUUCAGCGGGGAGGAAGGUGUUGUGGUUAAUAACCGCAGCAAUUGACGUUACCCGCAGAAGAAGCACCGGCUAACUCCGUGCCAGCAGCCGCGGUAAUACGGAGGGUGCAAGCGUUAAUCGGAAUUACUGGGCGUAAAGCGCACGCAGGCGGUCUGUCAAGUCGGAUGUGAAAUCCCCGGGCUCAACCUGGGAACUGCAUUCGAAACUGGCAGGCUUGAGUCUUGUAGAGGGGGGUAGAAUUCCAGGUGUAGCGGUGAAAUGCGUAGAGAUCUGGAGGAAUACCGGUGGCGAAGGCGGCCCCCUGGACAAAGACUGACGCUCAGGUGCGAAAGCGUGGGGAGCAAACAGGAUUAGAUACCCUGGUAGUCCACGCCGUAAACGAUGUCUACUUGGAGGUUGUGCCCUUGAGGCGUGGCUUCCGGAGCUAACGCGUUAAGUAGACCGCCUGGGGAGUACGGCCGCAAGGUUAAAACUCAAAUGAAUUGACGGGGGCCCGCACAAGCGGUGGAGCAUGUGGUUUAAUUCGAUGCAACGCGAAGAACCUUACCUGGUCUUGACAUCCACAGAAGAAUCCAGAGAUGGAUUUGUGCCUUCGGGAACUGUGAGACAGGUGCUGCAUGGCUGUCGUCAGCUCGUGUUGUGAAAUGUUGGGUUAAGUCCCGCAACGAGCGCAAC
rnacentral:rRNA from 1 species